rnacentral:lncRNA from 1 species
UUGAGCACCGCGGUGCGGACCUAGCAAGCUUUCCAUUCAGCUGACAGACACCAUUCCUGAAUCAGCUGCGGAUGACCGAAGGCUGCACGUCCUGGAUUUGCUGAAAGCUGAGGAGAGCCAGUUCAGCCAAUGAGAUUGGUCGCUGCUUCUUGAAGAGAAAAAGUAAACUCUCCAUGAGUGUCUCACAGUUCCUGGCCACCACGUCAGGAGAACUUGACUCAAGGAACCGCCAGUCUCUUCAGGGAUCUUCUCUCCGGUGGCACCCUUCCGCCCGCCCCAUCUAUUGGAACAGAGGACGGCCUGAAUUUCCUCCAACCUGCAGAGUGGACUUGGAAUGAGAUGCUGUCCUAAAUUUAACAUCAAAAAAACAAGGCUCGGGGCCUUUGUACUAGGGUGUCGUGACACUGUUCUAGGACACCACGGUUGGAUAGAGCACAGGAAUGCCAUGGUCUUCGUGACCCAGUUUCCUCUGUGUGGUGAUUAGCUUUCACUGCCAACCUGAAGCCACCCAAACUCAUCUGGGAAGAGAGUCUUAAUGAGGCAUUAUUUAGAUCAGCCCCGCCUGGACUGUGUGCACUUCCCUGUGGGGACUGUCUUGAUCACUGUAAUUGAUGUGGGUGGGAUCAUUCUCAGGCCUUGGGCUCUAGGUUGUAUGAGAGUAGAGAAGGCAAAGAAAAUGAGCUGAAGUCAUCAGGUAGGCUGGCAGUGAGGCCCCAGACAGGCUCCUGUAGCUAUGGAGCCAG